AGACCCAAGAAUAUUUCGUAAUUUUUGAGCAUCCCUAACAUAAAGACGUAAGAAAUCUUCAACUGUAUGUAUUCCACUAUUAUUUAGUUUUUUAUGAAAGGAACCAUCUUUGCCAAUUUUCUCCAACCUCCAUACUUCAUCAUUCAAUGCAGGCGGAUAGUGUUUCUUGUAGAGUUCCCCUCUGUGAUCUUUAACAGUGAAAGCUUCAGUCUUUGCCUCCCGAAUUCGUAUGCCCUCACAAUAUCCAGAGGCAACCUUCAAGCCAAGCCUAAACUUCCUGCUCCUUAUCCAGCUUGAGUUGUCCGUAAAAGUGAGUUCCCCCAGCGUUCCUACCCCUUCCUUGAGGGUCACUUGUAGAUCCCCAGUCAACAGUGGUCUUUUUCCUUCACGCUCUUUUACAACAUGGCUUUCAAAUUCUUCCUGGUUCCAGUCUUCAUCAUCUUCAUUAUUGAAAUCACCUUCAAGCACAACAACGUCUAGCUUUACAGAGGCUUCAGGCCCAGAGGUUACAACAACGCCACUAUUAGCAUCAAGCAGAACAAUGUGGAUUGCAGCACCCUGCUCCCCCUCCACUUUUCCUCCAGUGAAAAGAGGAAGAGACAACCUGGACCUAAAUUGUAACUGCAAGUUUCCUCCAUCUGGACCUUCAAUACGUUUCGGGGAAGACCUUCCACUGAUUCUAGGAGGGCCCAACUUUGCUAAAGCACGUUCCACUUCCUCACUUACAACUCUACGAAGAAUGGGUUCCAAAGAUGAGCAGAGCUUUUGCAGACUGUCCACCUUAAGAGCUUCUACAAUGACACUAGCUAAAGCAGGGCGCUUUCGCUCAGGUUGCUGCUCUUCUCCACCUUCUAAAGCCCUCUUCCCUCUAGCCAUACUAUUAGUCCUCUCCAUAUACCUGGUCUGCAUUUUCACCCAAUUAUAGAAACCCUAGCUUCCCAGAUCUGAGAUAUAAAGAGAGUGUUC
rnacentral:misc_RNA from 1 species